rnacentral:snRNA from 1 species
GUGCUUACUUUGCAGCACACAUACUAAAAUUGUAAUGAUACAGAGAGGAUUAGCAGAGCCCUUGUGCAAAGAUUACACAAACUCAUCAAACAUCCUGUAUUA